GACGAACGCUGGCGGCGUGCUUAACACAUGCAAGUCGAACGGUAAGGCCCUUCGGGGUACACGAGUGGCGAACGGGUGAGUAACACGUGGGUGAUCUGCCCUGCACUUCGGGAUAAGCCUGGGAAACUGGGUCUAAUACCGGAUAGGACUCCGGACUGCAUGGUCUGGGGUGGAAAGCUUUUGCGGUGUGGGAUGGGCCCGCGGCCUAUCAGCUUGUUGGUGGGGUGAUGGCCUACCAAGGCGACGACGGGUAGCCGGCCUGAGAGGGUGACCGGCCACACUGGGACUGAGAUACGGCUCAGACUCCUACGGGAGGCAGCAGUGGGGAAUAUUGCACAAUGGGCGCAAGCCUGAUGCAGCGACGCCGCGUGAGGGAUGACGGCCUUCGGGUUGUAAACCUCUUUCAGCAUCGACGAAGCGAAAGUGACGGUAGGUGCAGAAGAAGGACCGGCCAACUACGUGCCAACAGCCGCCGCUG
rnacentral:rRNA from 1 species